AACUCCAAGUUUCUCUACUUUCUCUCUAACCUCCACACUCACUGAUUCAGUGCAUGGAGGUGGUGCCCAAGCGUCCACAGUGUAGAAGGCUUUAUUUUGAACCGAUUACUUCUUUCAUUCUGACCGGGUUUGGUUGAGUUCUUACUGAGUCAGGCACUGUUGAAUCAAGUUGUGAGCUUACCUGUGAAACCCUAAGAGUGGGUGAGGUACCCCUGGAGCAGGCCCUGGAUGGUGAUGAUGCUGCAACUUAGUUUAUUUAGGAGUUUCUAAAUUAAGUUCUAUCAUUUUAAAAUACUCUAAAGUGUUUAGUUUUA